rnacentral:rRNA from 1 species
GACAGAGGUGCCAAGCGUUAGGCGGAAUCACUGGGCUUAAAGCGUGUGUAGGCGGAUCGUUAAGUACCUUGUGAAAUCCCCCGGCUCAACCGGGGAACUGCUGGGUAUACUGGCGAUCUUGGGCCACUCAGGGGCAGAUGGAACAGACGGUGGAGCGGUGAAAUGCGUAGAUAUCGUCUGGAACGCCAAAGGUGAAAACAGUCUGCUGGGGGUGUGCCGACGCUGAGACACGAAAGCCAGGGGAGCAAACGGG